rnacentral:rRNA from 1 species
UACGGAGGGAGCUAGCGUUGUUCGGAAUUACUGGGCGUAAAGCGCACGUAGGCGGCUUUGCAAGUUAGAGGUGAAAGCCCGGGGCUCAACUCCGGAAUUGCCUUUAAAACUGCAUCGCUAGAAUUGUGGAGAGGUAAGUGGAAUUCCGAGUGUAGAGGUGAAAUUCGUAGAUAUUCGGAAGAACACCAGUGGCGAAGGCGACUGACUGGACACAUAUUGACGCUGAGGUGCGAAAGCGUGGGGAGCAAACAGG